rnacentral:rRNA from 1 species
AGUAACACAUGAUCAACUUACCCUAUUGAGAAAGAUAACCUCGGGAAACUGAGGAUAAUAUUUCAUAGUUGAAUUGGCUUGGAAAAGUUUUUCAACAAAAGGGAUAGGGAAAAUGGUCUCUAUCCGCUAUAGGAUAGGAUCGUGUUCGAUUAUGGUAGUUGGUGAGGUAAAGGCUCACCAAGCCGAUAAUCGAUAGGGGCCGUGAGAGCGGGAGCCCCGAGAUGGGUACUGAGACAACGACCCAGGCCUUACGAGGCGCAGCAGGUACGAAACCUCCACAAUACACGAAAGUGUGAUGGGGUUACCCAAAGUGUUCAUUAUUGAACUGUGGUAGGAGAGUAAUGUCCCCUACUAGAAAGGAGAGGGCAAGGCUGGUGCCAGCCGCCGCGGUAAAACCAGCUCUUCAAGUGGUCGGGAUAAUUAUUGGGCUUAAAGUGUCCGUAGCCGGUUUAGUAAGUUCCUGGUAAAAUCGGGUAGCUUAACCAUCUGUAUGCUAGGAAUACUACUAUACUAGAGGGCGGGAGAGGUCUGAGGUACUACAGGGGUAGG